AGUAUAAUACAUUUAAAAACAAUUAUUUUAAAUUGUAAUAAUAUAUCACAAUAUUACAUUUUUUUUCUGUAUUUUUGAUCAAAUAAAUGCAGGCUUGAUGAGCAGAAGAAACUUCUUUCAAAAACAUUAAAAAUAGUAAUGUUUCCAAACUUUUGGUCUGUACUGUAUAUGUUUUACUAUCAGUGUGAAAAGUUUUCUCUAAAAAAAAAAGUGUUUCUCUCGAAACGCUUUUCUUUGCUCUCGAUGCAAUUUCUUGCUCUCGUGUCAGGAUUUUGCUUUCACUGUGAGAAUUGUGUCAUGGGCGGGGUCACGUUCCUAUUGGCCAGUCGGGGGAGCAUCGUCUUGUCUUGGGAGUCGAACUGAAACAUUACACUGUUGUUCGGUUCACCUGCAUAGAUGCCGCCUCUGCCUUAUGGCUAGUUUAGUUGAGCACGGACACUCCAAUGUUUGGUUCCAGAGGCCACCAGACAACUAUGAAUCUACUUCACCCAUCGAAGAGCCUUCUUUAUUUGCUCCUAACCUUUGGACCCUUUCUAGGUGGAAUGUCGAUCCCUGUUGCAGUAAACAUUGGGGAUACUGCGAUUUUCACUUGUAAUGAGACAUGUAAUGGACAUCUCUUGUGGACAUUCCACACUUACAAUGAAAAUCUAGACGUUGUAAAAUGUGUCCAAGAGACUUGCACCAAAGGAGACAACUUUAAGAACAGAGUGAGCCUUAAGCCUGGAAAAAUGUCUCUAGCCCUGUAUCCUGUUCUGUACAAUGAUGAAGGCUGGUACAUGGUCAGAUGUGAUUCAGCGGUUGCCUGUAGAUUCCACUUAGAAGCUCUUGUACCAACUACUGUGAGCACCUCAGUCAGUAGCAAUGUCACACUACCCUGCUAUGCACGCACAGAGAAACAAAUCACUGAUGACACUGUGAACAUCCUGUGGAAAAAAGAUGACCGAAUGGUGUUACAAGUUCAAAAAGGAAUUACAACAUAUGGCUCAGGAUUUACAGGCAGGGUAUUAGUUUCACUGCACUAUUAUAAGGACGGAGAUCUUUCCCUUAACAUGGUCAGGGUCACCAUGUCAGAUAAGGGAUUGUACCGGUGCUAUCACAGAACUACAGAAGAACAGGGUUAUCCUGGUGCUGUUACUCUCAAUGUUACAGGUUGUUAAAUAUUAAAUUUUUUACACUUUCUUUUUUCUCCUGUAAUAGAAAAAAAAAGUUUAACUAAAAGAGUGAAAUUCUUUCUUCAGCUGAUCAAAAGUUUUAUGCAAAAAAGUUUGGGGGAAAUCUCACCCUGGACCUGUUUGGCUCUGACCAUGUAAGGGUAACUUUCACCGGUCAUGAUGCAGAUGAGACGCCUGUUUGCAGUGUGACGGGAAACAAACCUACAUGCUCAUCUGAGUACACGCACAGAGUAUCUGUCAUAAAUAACUUCCUUGUGCUGCGCGAGUUAACGUCCACUGAUACAGGCACAUUUACUGUGAAAAAUGAGAUGGAUGAAGUCAUUGGUGUCAACACUGUCACUGUGGAGGGUAAGUUUGAAAUCAAACUAAUUUAAUUUUUUGUUGUUUAAUUUGUUCUUUUUAGUUUUAAUAAUUGGCUUUCGUUUGCAUUUAGAACUAAGUUCCUUUCUUUGUCAUGCACAGGUGUGACCCAGAGACAUCACUACAUAGCUCUGUCUGUGAUAAUUGGUUUCAUUCUCAUUUGCCUGUUCCUUUGCUGUCAGUGUUGUAGACAGUCACAAGCACAGCAGUAUCGCUGCAGUUAUAGUGCAAUACAGUCUAAUGUGAAUAUAAAUCCAGAACCGAUGAGAGAGCCUGCAUGCAUUGAAUUUUCACAAGAAGAAACCAACCCAGAGCCUGAAGUUCAUCUACACACACCUGUCGAGGAGACCAUGCCUGAGCCUGUGAGGACCACUGAGAAGCAAGACAACACUGAAGAGUAUAUUACGUGUGGAAUAGGAAUUAGAGAAACAAUUUAAGAAUACUUUAAGAGAACUGAAAAAAAAAAAAAAAAAACCCUCAAAUGUUCUUCCGCUGCUGUAUUAUAUGCUAUGAAAAAGAUGGCAUUAGAUUUAAUUGGAUAUUCUUUGAGCAACUGCAUAACUGUGCCAGUGAACAAUAUGUGAAACUUGAAGAGAAAUUGAUUAUAAUUUUUACUUCAGGAAGGCCUGUAGCUGCAGUCUUGUUUUUGGCCAAAAAUAUAAAUUUUCCAUCAUCAAUAGUGUAGCGAUGUAUAAAGCACAGCACAGUCACUUUCAAUUCCAGUUAGCCACAGAAUGUAAAAUUAAUGUGAAGUAUUUUUAUUGUAAAUCAUAUAAUAGCCUUUUUUUCUGACAUGUUUACAUUGCUGUUAGGCAUCUUAAAUCAUUAGGCUUGGGGUGCACAACUAUUAUUCUUGUCAUAAUGAUGAUGUCAGAUGUGGCCACACUGGAAACCCACUUGCUUGACUGUGCUUAUUCUUAAUAAGCAUUAUUCUGCACUUUGAUAUAUUGCACUUUUUCUAUUCUAUUUAUAAGCUUUCGAUACUAACCUUGUGGUAUAACCUUUUUUCUAUUGAAUUUGUUUUAUUAAGUAAAAUGUUUACAAUAUAAAGUAUUACACACACUAAAAUGUUUACAGUGUAUCUGUGUAUUCUAUUAAUUUUUAUGAUCAAAAGUCACAUAAUAUGAAUGAAUGAAUGAUUAAUUUAAUAACAAAUUCAAAGCAUGAAAUUUUCCAGAAGAUGAAAAGGUAUAUUACUGUUUUUUUAAAACAAAAUGUCUUUAGUAAUAGCUAAAGUAAUACUAGUUUUAGUAAUUUUACCACUCUACGUGAAAUGUCAGAAUGUAUACAUUAAUAUAUACCAUAAUAUUAAUUUAAAGAGUUUUCCUUUUAUGUAUACAUACAGUUGUGCACAUAAGUUUACAUACCCAUUUUAGAAUAUGCAAAAUGUUUAUAAUUUUAACAAAAUAAGAGGGAACAAAAAAAUUGCAUGUUUUAAUUUUUUUUUAUUUAGUACUGUCUUGAAUAAGCUUGAAUAUCCAGAAAAUGACACACAGUUUUAACCCACUGGCCCUCUUCGUUUAGGAGUCACACUUACCUUCUUCGUGGGCAAAAGUGACCGAAGCCUUGAAAUGUAACUUUUUUUUUCUUCAGGAAAACCAAUGAAUUUUUGUUCAAUAAUAUUUUUUGAUUAUUAUUUAUGAUUUUUAGCGUGUUUUAUGAUACUAUGCAAUAUUUAUACAAUUUUAAUGAGCCAUUUUCUCCAUUAGAAUUAAUAUAUAUUUGCAAUAUUUCACAUUAAAAUAGAGUGAAAGCAUUUAAAAUCCAUUUUUUGAUGUGAGAAUUGGGCAAUCUGGAGGCAUUAAAAAAAAUAAAAACUUGUUUACUUGUGUAAUGUUGCA
ensembl:lncRNA